rnacentral:rRNA from 1 species
AUACUAAUGCAUAUGGUGAAUGCCUUGACACUAAAAAGCGAUGAAGGACGUAGCUAGCUGCGAUAAGCUUCGGUGAGGUGCUGAGCAACCUUUGACCCGGAGAUUUCCGAAUGGGAAAACCUAUCCGCCUUUGGCGGAUAUCUUCACAUGAAUUCAUAGUGUGAUGAAGCGAACCCUGGGAACUGAAACAUCUUAGUACCAGGAGGAAGAGAAAACAAAAGUGAUUCCGUGAGUAGUGGCGAGCGAAAGCGGAAAAGUCUAAACCAUUAGUCGCAAGACUAGCGGGGUUGCGAGAUAAUUUUACUCGUUUAAUCGGGGUAAAAAAUAUUUUAUUAACAAAAUAUUCUGGAAAGAAUGACCAUAGAGGGUGAAAGUCCCGUAUGUGAAAAUAAAAUACUUUUAUGAAAUUAUUCUCAAGUAGGGCGGGACCGGAGAAAUCCCGUUUGAAGCCGGGGCCACUAUAGCUCCAAGACUAAAUAUUUUUAGUGAUCGAUAGCGAACAAGUACCGUGAGGGAAAGGUGAAAAGCAUCCCGAUGAGGGAGAUGAAAUAGUAUCUGAAACCAUAUGCUAACGAAGAGUAGGAGCCCCGAUUUAUCGGGGUGACUGCGUGCUUUUUGUAGAACGAUCCAGCGAGUUAGUUCUGUGCCGUUGACUAAGCAACUUUGUUGCGGAGUCAAAGUGAAAGCGAGCCUGAAAGGGCGAAUUAUAAUGGCAUGGACUAGACCCGAAGCCAGGUGAGCUAUUUAUGAGCAGGGUGAAUUUGCUGUAACAGGCAAAGGAGGCCCGAACCCACGAGCCGUGCAACACUCGGGGAUGACUUGUGAAUAGAGGAGAAAUUCCAAUCGAACUUGGCGAUAGCUGGUUCUUCCUGAAAUAGCUUGAGGGCUAGCGCUUAUUAAAUGAGCACAAUAGGUAGAGCACUGAAUGAGAUCGGCGCGGUUCGCCGUAGCCAUCUCAACCAAACUCCGAAUUAUUGUGUUUCUUAUCUAAGCAGUCAGUACUCCGGGGCUAAGCUCGGAGCACAAAAGGGAAAAAGCCCAGAUCACAAUCUAAGGUCCCCAAAUCUAUGUUAAGUGGUAAAGGAGGUGAAGUUUCUUAUACACCUAGGAGGUUGGCUCAGAAGCAGCCAUCCUUUAAAGAGUGCGUAA